rnacentral:rRNA from 1 species
AGCGAACGCUGGCGGCAGGCCUAAUACAUGCAAGUCGAGCGCACCUUCGGGUGAGCGGCGGACGGGUGAGUAACGCGUGGGAACGUGCCCUUUGGUACGGGAUAACUGAGGGAAACUUCAGCUAAUACCGUAUGUGCCCUACGGGGGAAAGAUUUAUCGCCAUUGGAGCGGCCCGCGUUGGAUUAGGUAGUUGGUGAGGUAAAGGCUCACCAAGCCUACGAUCCAUAGCUGGUCUGAGAGGAUGAUCAGCCACACUGGGACUGAGACACGGCCCAGACUCCUACGAGAGGCAGCAGUAGGGAAUCUUGCGCAAUGGGCGAAAGCCUGACGCAGCCAUGCCGCGUGUAUGAUGAAGGUCUUAGGAUUGUAAAAUACUUUCACCGGGGAAGAUAAUGACGGUACCCGGAGAAGAAGCCCCGGCUAACUUCGUGCCAGCAGCCGCGGUAAAAC